rnacentral:rRNA from 1 species
AGUGAACGCUGGCGGUAGGCCUAACACAUGCCAGUCGAACGGCAGCACAGUAAUAGCUUGCUCUUACGGGUGGCGAGUGGCGGACGGGUGCGGAAUACAUCGGAAUCUACUUUUUCGUGGGGGAUAACGUAGGGAAACUUACGCUAAUACCGCAUACGACCUACGGGUGAAAGCAGGGGAUCUUCGGACCUUGCGCGAUUGAAUGAGCCGAUGUCGGAUUAGCUAGUUGGCGGGGUAAAGGCCCACCAAGGCGACGCUCCGUAGCUGGUCUGAGAGGAUGAUCAGUCACACUGGAACUGAGACACGGUCCAGACUCCUACGGGAGGCAGCAGUGGGGAAUAUUGGACAAUGGGCGCAAGCCUGAUCCAGCCAUACCGCGUGGGUGAAGAAGGCCUUCGGGUUGUAAAGCCCUUUUGUUGGGAAAGAAAAGCAGCAGGUUAAUACCCCGCUGUUCUGACGGUACCCAAAGAAUAAGCACCGGCUAACUUCGUG